rnacentral:rRNA from 1 species
AUUGAACGCUGGCGGCAUGCUUUACACAUGCAAGUCGAACGGUAACAGGCCGCAAGGUGCUGACGAGUGGCGCACGGGUGAGUAAUGCAUCGGAACGUGCCCAGUCGUGGGGGAUAACUACUCGAAAGAGUAGCUAAUACCGCAUACGAUCUAUGGAUGAAAGCGGGGGACCGUAAGGCCUCGCGCGAUUGGAGCGGCCGAUGUCAGAUUAGGUAGUUGGUGGGGUAAAGGCUCACCAAGCCAACGAUCUGUAGCUGGUCUGAGAGGACAACCAGCCACACUGGGACUGAGACACGGCCCAGACUCCUACGGGAGGCAGCAGUGGGGAAUUUUGGACAAUGGGCGCAAGCCUGAUCCAGCAAUGCCGCGUGCAGGAAGAAGGCCUUCGGGUUGUAAACUGCUUUUGUACGGAACGAAACGGCUCUGGUUAAUACCCGGGGCUAAUGGCGGUACCGUAAGAAUAAGCACCGGCUAACUACGUG